rnacentral:rRNA from 1 species
GACGAACGCUGGCGGCGUGCCUAAUACAUGCAAGUCGAGCGGAUGAAAGAGGAGCUUGCUCCUUUAGAUUCAGCGGCGGACGGGUGAGCAACACGUGGGCAACCUGCCCUGUAGAUUGGGAUAACUCCGGGAAACCGGGGCUAAUACCGAAUAAUCCUUCGGACCUCAUGGUCCGAUGUUGAAAGACGGUUUCGGCUGUCACUACAGGAUGGGCCCGCGGCGCAUUAGCUAGUUGGUGAGGUAACGGCUCACCAAGGCCACGAUGCGUAGCCGACCUGAGAGGGUGAUCGGCCACACUGGGACUGAGACACGGCCCAGGCUCCUACGGGAGGCAGCAGUAGGGAAUCUUCCACAAUGGACGAAAGUCUGAUGGAGCAACGCCGCGUGAGUGAAGAAGGUUCUCGGAUCGUAAAACUCUGUUGUGAGGGAAGAACGAGUACCGGAGUAACUGCCGGUGCCUUGACGGUACCUCAUUAGAAAGCCACGGCUAACUACGUGCCAGCAGCCGCAGUAA